rnacentral:rRNA from 1 species
CAAUAGCGUAUAUUAAAGUUGUUGCAGUUAAAAAGCUCGUAGUUGGAUUUCGGGGCAGCCUGGCUGGUCCGCCGCAAGGCGAGUACUGGUCAGCCGCCCUUCCUCUCGAAAGCCCCGACUGCUCUUUAUUGCAGUGGUCGGGUAGUUCGGGACGUUUACUUUGAAAAAAUUAGAGUGUUCAAGGCAGGCCUACGCCUGAAUACAUUAGCAUGGAAUAAUGGAAGAGGACCUCGGUCCUAUUUUGUUGGUUUCCAGGACCGAAGUAAUGAUUAAGAGGGACAGUUGGGGGCAUUCGUAUUUAAUUGUCAGAGGUGAAAUUCUCGGAUUUAUGAAAGACGAACAACUGCGAAAGCAUUUGCCGAGGAUGUUUUCAUUAA